AGAGUUUGAUCCUGGCUCAGGAUGAACGCUGGCGGCGUGCUUAACACAUGCAGGUCGAACGCACCUUCGGGUGAGUGGCGGACGGGUGAGUAACGCGUGGGAAUCUGCCCUUAGGAGGGGGAUAACGGCUGGAAACGGCCGCUAAUACCCCAUAUGCCGAGAGGUGAAACGAAUUUCGCCUGAGGAUGAGCCCGCGUCUGAUUAGCUAGUUGGUGGGGUAAGAGCCCACCAAGGCGACGAUCAGUAGCUGGUCUGAGAGGAUGAUCAGCCACACUGGGACUGAGACACGGCCCAGACUCCUACGGGAGGCAGCAGUGGGGAAUUUUCCGCAAUGGGCGAAAGCCUGACGGAGCAACGCCGCGUGAGGGAUGAAGGCCUCUGGGCUGUAAACCUCUUUUCUCAAGGAAGAAGACAUGACGGUACUUGAGGAAUAAGCCACGGCUAAUUCCGUGCCAGCAGCCGCGGUAAUACGGGAGUGGCAAGCGUUAUCCGGAAUUAUUGGGCGUAAAGCGUCCGCAGGCGGCUCUGUAAGUCUGUUGUUAAAGCGUGGAGCUCAACUCCAUUUCAGCAAUGGAAACUACAGGGCUUGAGUGUGGUAGGGGCAGAGGGAAUUCCCGGUGUAGCGGUGAAAUGCGUAGAUAUCGGGAAGAACACCAGUGGCGAAGGCGCUCUGCUGGGCCAUAACUGACGCUCAUGGACGAAAGCCAGGGGAGCGAAAGGGAUUAGAUACCCCUGUAGUCCUGGCCGUAAACGAUGAACACUAGGUGUCGGGGGAAUCGACCCCCUCGGUGUCGUAGCCAACGCGUUAAGUGUUCCGCCUGGGGAGUACGCACGCAAGUGUGAAACUCAAAGGAAUUGACGGGGGCCCGCACAAGCGGUGGAGUAUGUGGUUUAAUUCGAUGCAACGCGAAGAACCUUACCAGGGUUUGACAUCCUGCGAAUCCCUUGGAAACUUGGGAGUGCCUUCGGGAGCGCAGAGACAGGUGGUGCAUGGCUGUCGUCAGCUCGUGUCGUGAGAUGUCGGGUUAAGUCCCGCAACGAGCGCAACCCACGUCUUUAGUUGCCAGCAUUCAGUUGGGCACUCUAGAGAGACCGCCGGUGAUAAACCGGAGGAAGGUGUGGAUGACGUCAAGUCAUCAUGCCCCUUACAUCCUGGGCUACACACGUACUACAAUGCUACGGACAGAGGGCAGCAAGCUCGCGAGAGUUAGCAAAUCCCAUAAACCGUGGCUCAGUUCAGAUCGUAGGCUGCAACUCGCCUACGUGAAGGAGGAAUCGCUAGUAAUCGCAGGUCAGCAUACUGCGGUGAAUACGUUCCCGGGCCUUGUACACACCGCCCGUCACACCAUGGAAGUUGGCCAUGCCCGAAGUCG
rnacentral:rRNA from 1 species